rnacentral:rRNA from 1 species
UGAGGAAUAUUGGGCAAUGCCCGCAAGGGUGACCCAGCAACGCCGCGUGGAGGAUGAAUGUCGUAAGAUUGUAAACUCCUGUUAGAGGGGAAGAAUAGUACCGGUUGGACCGGUAUAUGACUGUACCCUCAGAGGAAGCCCCGGCUAACUACGUGCCAGCAGCCGCGGUAAUACGUAGGGGGCAAGCGUUGUCCGGAUUUACUGGGUGUAAAGGGCGCGCAGGCGGGAUAAAAAGUCAGUGGUGAAAUCCUACAGCUUAACUGUAGAACUGCCUUUGAUACUUUUAUUCUUGAGUUCGGGAGAGAGAGACGGAAUUCCAGGUGUAGUGGUGAAAUACGUAGAUAUCUGGAAGAACACCAGUUGCGAAGGCGGUCUCUUGGUCCGACACUGACGCUGAGGCGCGAAAGCGUGGGGAGCAAAC